GGGGAAUUUUCCGCAAUGGGUGAAAGCGUGACGGGGCAAUGCCGCGUGUGGGAUGAAGCCCUUCGGGGUGUAAACCACUGUCAGAAUUCAGGAACACAAUGACCAGAUUCAAAGGAAGGGCCGGCUAACUCUGUGCCAGCAGCCGCGGUAAUACAGAGGGCCCGAGCGUUAAUCGGAAUCACUGGGCUUAAAGAGUGCGUAGGCGGACAUGUAGGUAUUUUGUGAAAUCCCUCGGCUCAACCGGGGAAUUGCUUGGUAAACCACAUGUCUUGAGGCAGGUAGGGGUGGUCGGAACGCUAGGUGGAGCGGUGAAAUGCGUAGAUAUCUAGCGGAACGCCAAAGGAGAAGUCAGGCCACUGGGGCCUGUCCUGACGCUGAGGCACGAAAGCGUGGUAGCGAAAGGGAUUAGAUACCCCUGUAGUC
rnacentral:rRNA from 1 species